rnacentral:rRNA from 1 species
UACGUAGGUGGCUAGCGUUGUCCGGAUUUACUGGGCGUAAAGAGCGCGCAGGCGGUCGUUCAAGUCGAGUGUGAAAGCCCCCGGCUCAACUGGGGAGGGUCACUCGAUACUGAUCGACUUGAAGGCGGGAGAGGGAAGCGGAAUUCCCGGUGUAGUGGUGAAAUGCGUAGAUAUCGGGAGGAACACCGGUGGCGAAGGCGGCAUCCUGGACCGGCAUUGACGCUGAGGCGCGAAAGCCAGGGGAGCAAAGCGGGG